rnacentral:rRNA from 1 species
CUGAAGACUCUACUUGACUAGCUGAGAGGAGGUGCAUGGCCGUCGUCAGUUCGUACUGUGAAGCAUCCUGUUAAGUCAGGCAACGAGCGAGACCCACGCCAACAGUUGCCAGCUCGUCCUCCGGGGAUGGUGGGGACACUGUUGGGACCGCCUCUGCUAAAGAGGAGGAAGGAAUGGGGCAACGGUAGGUCAGCAUGCCCCGAAUUAUCUGGGCUACACGCGGGCUACAAUGGGUGGGACAAUGGGUAUCGACACCGAAAGGUGAAGGCAAUCUCCUAAACCCAUCCGUAGUUCGGAUUGUGGGCUGCAACUCGCCCACAUGAAGCUGGAAUCUGUAGUAAUCGUGUCUCAAAAUAGCGCGGUGAAUAUGUCCCUGCUCCUU